rnacentral:lncRNA from 1 species
UCAAUAAUCAAUCAAUCACUGUGACUGGAACAUCAAACAGGCUCCACGUGCACCAUUGAAGCCCUGACUGUGUUUGUCCUGGCUGCACUCACAGAGAGCAAGAGUGAUGACAAUUUUGAACACACAACUCAGGCUCUCGCUUCUUGCAAGGGCAGCUCGUGUAAGCAUGAGAUGUCGUUGUUGCCACGUCCUCUCCAAAGAGAAAAGAAAAUUCCUUAGUGUCUGUCUCUGCCUCUGUGAGGGAGGAGUCCUAUCUAAUUUGUCCGCCACUGUUUACCUCCAAAGGAAUAUCCGUUCUUCCAGUCUCACUAGCUGCUGAAUAUGAAAGUUAAUGAAGCAAAGACCUGUGACUUGACACCUCAAUUGUUGCUUUAAUGAAAGUGUAUACAGACUCCCCAAGCUUUUCUUCUGUACAGAAAGAAUGUUGUCAUAGGAUUCUUCAUAUUUU